rnacentral:SRP_RNA from 1 species
GCCAGGCACGGUGGCUCGUGCCUGUAAUCCUAGCACUUUGGGAGGCUGAGACGGGUGGAUCACCUGAGGUCAGGAGUUCAAGUUUAGCCUGGCCAACAUGGUGAAACCCCGUCUCCA